rnacentral:rRNA from 1 species
GACAGAGGCCCCGAGCGUUAGUCGGAAUCACUGGGCUUAAAGGGUGCGUAGGCGGGUUCGUAAGUGUCGUGUGAAAGCCCACUGCUCAACGGUGGAACCGCACGGCAAACUGCGAGUCUUGAAGAAAUUAGAGGUCGCUGGAACGCUUGGUGGAGCGGUGGAAUGCGUAGAUAUCAAGCGGAACGCCGAAGGUGAAGACAGGCGACUAGGAUUUUCUUGACGCUGAGGCACGAAAGCGUGGGGAGCAAACAGG